UUAACUCAAAUUUGUAUGCAGUUCCAACAUUUUGUCUACGUUUGCCGCUAGGGGCUCUGAUCAAUUUCCAUACAAAUUUGAGUUA
rnacentral:pre_miRNA from 1 species